AGAUUAAGUUAUUAAGGGCGCACGGUGGAUGCCUUGGCACUAGAAGCCGAUGAAGGACGUUACUAACGACGAUAUGCUUUGGGUAGCUGUAAGUAAGCGUUGAUCCAGAGAUUUCCGAAUGGGGGAACCCAGCAUGAGUUAUGUCAUGUUAUCGACAUGUGAAUUCAUAGCAUGUCAGAAGGCAGACCCGGAGAACUGAAACAUCUUAGUACCCGGAGGAAGAGAAAGAAAAAUCGAUUCCCUGAGUAGCGGUGAGCGAAACGGGAAGAGCCCAAACCAACAAGCUUGCUUGUUGGGGUUGUAGGACACUCUAUACGGAGUUACAAAAGAACAUGUUAGAUGAAUCAUCUGGAAAGAUGAAUCAAAGAAGGUAAUAAUCCUGUAGUCGAAAACAUAUUCUCUCUUGAGUGGAUCCUGAGUACGACGGAGCACGUGAAAUUCCGUCGGAAUCUGGGAGGACCAUCUCCUAAGGCUAAAUACUCUCUAGUGACCGAUAGUGAACCAGUACCGUGAGGGAAAGGUGAAAAGUACCCCGGAAGGGGAGUGAAAGAGAACUUGAAACCGUGUGCUUACAAGUAGUCAGAGCCCGUUAAUGGGUGAUGGCGUGCCUUUUGUAGAAUGAACCGGCGAGUUACGAUUUGAUGCAAGGUUAAGCAGCAAAUGUGGAGCCGCAGCGAAAGCGAGUCUGAAUAGGGCGUUGAGUAUUUGGUCGUAGACCCGAAACCAGGUGAUCUACCCUUGGUCAGGUUGAAGUUCAGGUAACACUGAAUGGAGGACCGAACCGACUUACGUUGAAAAGUGAGCGGAUGAACUGAGGGUAGCGGAGAAAUUCCAAUCGAACUUGGAGAUAGCUGGUUCUCUCCGAAAUAGCUUUAGGGCUAGCCUCAAGUGAUGAUUAUUGGAGGUAGAGCACUGUUUGGACGAGGGGCCCCUCUCGGGUUACCGAAUUCAGACAAACUCCGAAUGCCAAUUAAUUUAACUUGGGAGUCAGAACAUGGGUGAUAAGGUCCGUGUUCGAAAGGGAAACAGCCCAGACCACCAGCUAAGGUCCCAAAAUAUAUGUUAAGUGGAAAAGGAUGUGGCGUUGCCCAGACAACUAGGAUGUUGGCUUAGAAGCAGCCAUCAUUUAAAGAGUGCGUAAUAGCUCACUAGUCGAGUGACACUGCGCCGAAAAUGUACCGGGGCUAAACAUAUUACCGAAGCUGUGGAUUGUCCUUUGGACAAUGGUAGGAGAGCGUUCUAAGGGCGUCGAAGCAUGAUCGCAAGGACAUGUGGAGCGCUUAGAAGUGAGAAUGCCGGUGUGAGUAGCGAAAGACGGGUGAGAAUCCCGUCCACCGAUUGACUAAGGUUUCCAGAGGAAGGCUCGUCCGCUCUGGGUUAGUCGGGUCCUAAGCUGAGGCCGACAGGCGUAGGCGAUGGAUAACAGGUUGAUAUUCCUGUACCACCUAGUAUCGUUUUAAUCGAUGGGGGGACGCAGUAGGAUAGGCGAAGCGUGCUGUUGGAGUGCACGUCCAAGCAGUAAGGCUGAGUGUUAGGCAAAUCCGGCACUCAUAAGGCUGAGCUGUGAUGGGGAGAGGAAAUUGUUUCCUCGAGUCGUUGAUUUCACACUGCCGAGAAAAGCCUCUAGAUAGAUAACAGGUGCCCGUACCGCAAACCGACACAGGUAGUCAAGAUGAGAAUUCUAAGGUGAGCGAGCGAACUCUCGUUAAGGAACUCGGCAAAAUGACCCCGUAACUUCGGGAGAAGGGGUGCUCUUUAGGGUUCACGCCCAGAAGAGCCGCAGUGAAUAGGCCCAAGCGACUGUUUAUCAAAAACACAGGUCUCUGCUAAACCGUAAGGUGAUGUAUAGGGGCUGACGCCUGCCCGGUGCUGGAAGGUUAAGAGGAGUGGUUAGCUUCUGCGAAGCUACGAAUCGAAGCCCCAGUAAACGGCGGCCGUAACUAUAACGGUCCUAAGGUAGCGAAAUUCCUUGUCGGGUAAGUUCCGACCCGCACGAAAGGCGUAACGAUUUGGGCACUGUCUCAACGAGAGACUCGGUGAAAUCAUAGUACCUGUGAAGAUGCAGGUUACCCGCGACAGGACGGAAAGACCCCGUGGAGCUUUACUGUAGCCUGAUAUUGAAAUUCGGCACAGCUUGUACAGGAUAGGUAGGAGCCUUUGAAACGUGAGCGCUAGCUUACGUGGAGGCGUUGGUGGGAUACUACCCUAGCUGUGUUGGCUUUCUAACCCGCACCACUUAUCGUGGUGGGAGACAGUGUCAGGCGAGCAGUUUGACUGGGGCGGUCGCCUCCUAAAAGGUAACGGAGGCGCUCAAAGGUUCCCUCAGAAUGGUUGGAAAUCAUUCAUAGAGUGUAAAGGCAUAAGGGAGCUUGACUGCGAGACCUACAAGUCGAGCAGGGUCGAAAGACGGACUUAGUGAUCCGGUGGUUCCGCAUGGAAGGGCCAUCGCUCAACGGAUAAAAGCUACCCCGGGGAUAACAGGCUUAUCUCCCCCAAGAGUUCACAUCGACGGGGAGGUUUGGCACCUCGAUGUCGGCUCAUCGCAUCCUGGGGCUGUAGUCGGUCCCAAGGGUUGGGCUGUUCGCCCAUUAAAGCGGUACGCGAGCUGGGUUCAGAACGUCGUGAGACAGUUCGGUCCCUAUCCGUCGUGGGCGUAGGAAAUUUGAGAGGAGCUGUCCUUAGUACGAGAGGACCGGGAUGGACAUACCUCUGGUGUACCAGUUGUCGUGCCAACGGCAUAGCUGGGUAGCUAUGUAUGGACGGGAUAAGUGCUGAAAGCAUCUAAGCAUGAAGCCCCCCUCAAGAUGAGAUUUCCCAACUUCGGUUAUAAGAUCCCUCGAAGAUGACGAGGUUAAUAGGUUCGAGGUGGAAGCGUGGUGACACGUGGAGCUGACGAAUACUAAUCGAUCGAAGACUUAAUCAAUUUUUAAA
rnacentral:rRNA from 1 species